GUAAGCUACUAAGAGCGAAUGGUGGAUGCCUUGACUGGUAAAGGCGAUGAAGGACGUACUAGACUGCGAUAAGCUACGGGGAGCUGUCAAGAAGCUUUGAUCCGUAGAUUUCCGAAUGGGGCAACCCAAUGUAUAGAGAUAUACAUUACCUAUAUAGGAGCGAACGAGGGGAAUUGAAACAUCUUAGUACCCUCAGGAAAAGAAAUCAAUAGAGAUUGCGUCAGUAGCGGCGAGCGAAAGCGCAAGAGGGCAAACCCAGUGCUUGCACUGGGGGUUGUAGGACUGCAAUGUGCAAGAGGUGAGUUUAGCAGAACAUUCUGGAAAGUAUAGCCAUAGAGGGUGAUAGUCCCGUAUGCGAAAAACAAACCUUAGCUAGCAGUAUCCUGAGUAGGGCGGGACACGAGAAAUCCUGUCUGAAGCUGGGUCGACCACGAUCCAACCCUAAAUACUAAUACCAGAUCGAUAGUGCACAAGUACCGUGAGGGAAAGGUGAAAAGAACUGAGGUGAUCAGAGUGAAAUAGAACCUGAAACCAUUUGCUUACAAUCAUUCAGAGCCCUAUGUAGCAAUACAGGGUGAUGGACUGCCUUUUGCAUAAUGAGCCUGCGAGUUGUGGUGUCUGGCAAGGUUAAGCAAACGCGAAGCCGUAGCGAAAGCGAGUCUGAAUAGGGCGCUUAGUCAGAUGCUGCAGACCCGAAACGAAGUGAUCUAUCCAUGAGCAAGUUGAAGCUAGUGUAAGAACUAGUGGAGGACUGAACCCAUAGGCGUUGAAAAGCCCCGGGAUGACUUGUGGAUAGGGGUGAAAGGCCAAUCAAACUUCGUGAUAGCUGGUUCUCUCCGAAAUAUAUUUAGGUAUAGCGUUGUGUCGUAAUAUAAGGGGGUAGAGCACUGAAUGGGCUAGGGCAUACACCAAUGUACCAAACCCUAUCAAACUCCGAAUACCUUAUAUGUAAUCACAGCAGUCAGGCGGCGAGUGAUAAAAUCCGUCGUCAAGAGGGAAACAACCCAGACUACCAGCUAAGGUCCCUAAAUCUUACUUAAGUGGAAAACGAUGUGAAGUUACUUAAACAACCAGGAGGUUGGCUUAGAAGCAGCCAUCCUUUAAAGAAAGCGUAAUAGCUCACUGGUCUAGUGAUUUUGCGCGGAAAAUAUAACGGGGCUAAAGUAAGUACCGAAGCUGUAGACUUGCACACAACUUAGAUUAUUUAAGUUUAGAAUAUGAGAAACUAAGUUAUAUGUUUAGUUAUAUUUUUACUGAUUUUUAUAGAGUAAAGAUAGAAAUAAAACUUAGUAAAAUCAGUAAAAAUAUUCUUAGACUAAAGUUAAGUAGUUUAAGUUGUGUGCAAGUGGUAGGAGAGCGUUCUAUUUGCGUCGAAGGUAUACCGGUAAGGAGUGCUGGAGCGAAUAGAAGUGAGCAUGCAGGCAUGAGUAGCGAUAAUUAAUGUGAGAAUCAUUAACGCCGUAAACCCAAGGUUUCCUACGCGAUGCUCGUCAUCGUAGGGUUAGUCGGGUCCUAAGUCGAGUCCGAAAGGGGUAGACGAUGGCAAAUUGGUUAAUAUUCCAAUACCAACAUUAGUGUGCGAUGGAAGGACGCUUAGGGCUAAGGGGGCUAGCGGAUGGAAGUGCUAGUCUAAGGUCGUAGGAGGUUAUACAGGCAAAUCCGUAUAACAAUACUCCGAGAACUGAAAGGCUUUUUGAAGUCUUCGGAUGGAUAGAAGAACCCCUGAUGCCGUCGAGCCAAGAAAAGUUUCUAAGUUUAGCUAAUGUUGCCCGUACCGUAAACCGACACAGGUGGGUGGGAUGAGUAUUCUAAGGCGCGUGGAAGAACUCUCUUUAAGGAACUCUGCAAAAUAGCACCGUAUCUUCGGUAUAAGGUGUGGUUCGCUUCGUAUUAGGAUUUACUCCGAAAGCGAAGAAACUUACAACAAAGAGUCCCUCCCGACUGUUUACCAAAAACACAGCACUCUGCUAACUCGUAAGAGGAUGUAUAGGGUGUGACGCCUGCCCGGUGCUCGAAGGUUAAUUGAUGGGGUUAGCAUUAGCGAAGCUCUUGAUCGAAGCCCGAGUAAACGGCGGCCGUAACUAUAACGGUCCUAAGGUAGCGAAAUUCCUUGUCGGUUAAAUACCGACCUGCAUGAAUGGCGUAACGAGAUGGGAGCUGUCUCAAAGAGGGAUCCAGUGAAAUUGUAGUGGAGGUGAAAAUUCCUCCUACCCGCGGCAAGACGGAAAGACCCCGUGGACCUUUACUACAGCUUGACACUGCUAUUUGGAUAAGAAUGUGCAGGAUAGGUGGGAGGCUUUGAGUAUAUGACGCCAGUUGUAUAUGAGCCAUUGUUGAGAUACCACUCUUUCUUAUUUGGGUAGCUAACCAGCUUGAGUUAUCCUCAAGUGGGACAAUGUCUGGUGGGUAGUUUGACUGGGGCGGUCGCCUCCCAAAUAAUAACGGAGGCUUACAAAGGUUGGCUCAGAACGGUUGGAAAUCGUUCGUAGAGUAUAAAGGUAUAAGCCAGCUUAACUGCAAGACAUACAAGUCAAGCAGAGACGAAAGUCGGUCUUAGUGAUCCGGUGGUUCUGUGUGGAAGGGCCAUCGCUCAAAGGAUAAAAGGUACCCCGGGGAUAACAGGCUGAUCUCCCCCAAGAGCUCACAUCGACGGGGAGGUUUGGCACCUCGAUGUCGGCUCAUCGCAUCCUGGGGCUGGAGCAGGUCCCAAGGGUAUGGCUGUUCGCCAUUUAAAGCGGUACGCGAGCUGGGUUCAGAACGUCGUGAGACAGUUCGGUCCCUAUCUGCCGUGGGCGUAAGAAGAUUGAAGAGAUUUGACCCUAGUACGAGAGGACCGGGUUGAACAAACCACUGGUGUAGCUGUUGUUCUGCCAAGAGCAUCGCAGCGUAGCUAAGUUUGGAAAGGAUAAACGCUGAAAGCAUCUAAGCGUGAAGCCAACUCUAAGAUGAAUCUUCUCUAAGCUCUCUAGAAGACUACUAGUUUGAUAGGCUGGGUGUGUAAUGGAUGAAAGUCCUUUAGCUGACCAGUACUAAUAGAGCGUUUGGCUUAUCUUU
rnacentral:rRNA from 1 species